AGCCUGUGAUGACAACUAUUUCUGACACCUCGAAUGAGAGCUGCACCUCAGCUCCUGAUUCUAACUCUGAUCUGAGGCUC